GGGGAAUAUUGCACAAUGGGCGAAAGCCUGAUGCAGCAACGCCGCGUGAGUGAUGAAGGCCUUCGGGUUGUAAAGCUCUGUCUUCUGGGACGAUAAUGACGGUACCAGAGGAGGAAGCCACGGCUAACUACGUGCCAGCAGCCGCGGUAAUACGUAGGUGGCAAGCGUUGUCCGGAUUUACUGGGCGUAAAGGAUGCGUAGGCGGAUACUUAAGUCAGAUGUGAAAAUCCCGGGCUUAACUUGGGAACUGCAUUUGAAACUGGGUAUCUAGAGUGCGGGAGAGGAAAGUGGAAUUCCUAGUGUAGCGGUGAAAUGCGUAGAGAUUAGGAAGAACACCAGUGGCGAAGGCGACUUUCUGGACCGUAACUGACGCUGAGGCAUGAAAGCGUGGGGA
rnacentral:rRNA from 1 species